UACAGAGGGUGCAAGCGUUAAUCGGAAUUACUGGGCGUAAAGCGUGCGUAGACGGUUGCGUAAGUCAGAUGUGAAAGCCCCCGGGCUCAACCUGGGAAUUGCAUUUGAGACUGCGUAGCUAGGGUGCGGAAGAGGGAAGCGGAAUUUCCGGUGUAGCGGUGAAAUGCGUAGAUAUCGGAAGGAACACCAGUGGCGAAAGCGGCUUCCUGGUCCAGCACCGACGUCAGGCACGAAAGCGUGGGGAGCAAACAGG
rnacentral:rRNA from 1 species